rfam:Gossypium raimondii chromosome 1, whole genome shotgun sequence.
GGACGGUGACGAUUUCAACAGUGAAAGGUCUCGUUCGUCGUAAUCGGCUGUUCUUCCAACAGCCGUUGCCGACCAUCCUGUUAUAUCACCACCCAUAUUCGGAGUCC